ensembl:lncRNA
AUCAGGAUAAUCAGACAGACAGGAAGUAAAACCCCAAAAAAGACACUAUCAACGUGACAACCCAGACGUUACCUACUCAGAAACUCAGACUAAUCAUGGCGAUGACAGUCACCCACAGGAUGCCCUUCACUUCCCACACACUGCCACUCAAAGUAAAUGAGCAGAGGAGGAACGGAGACGGAUGGAUGCACGGCCGGAUGGAUGCGAGGAGAAGACAGUGGGAUGGCUGAUUGGCUGGAAAUAAGAUCCCCGCGGGGGGGCGAAAAGAGCGCCUGUUGCUCGGCCCUUUCCUUCCUUCCCUGCGUGUAUAAAUAACGGAUGGCGGCUCCCUGGCUGCCUCGCUGUCGCAGUUUACAGGUAAACACGGCACCUCUCAUGACCCGCGGCGGUGAUGGGUCUCCACAGCAACGCCGUGACGCGCCAACCGGGAGAGAGCGGGGCGACAAACUGGAGGCAGAGGCGGAAGCUCCGGGCAGCGACGAGCCGCGGUCCUCUGCGAAGAUCGUCUAUUAGCACGAUGACUCACUCCAUAUCACCG